GAUGAACGCUAGCGGCGGGCUUAAUACAUGCAAGUCGAGGGGUGGUAGCAAUACUACACCGGCGCACGGGUGCGUAACGCGUAUGCAAUCUACCUUUAUCUGGGGGAUAGCCCGGGGAAACCCGGAUUAAUACCGCAUAACAAACUUUCUGGCAUCAGAUGGUUUUUAAAAGAUUUAUCGGAUAAAGAUGAGCAUGCGUA
rnacentral:rRNA from 1 species